CCCCAGGUUCUAAGACUCUGACUCCACCAGGGUGCGGAGCCCGCCCUGCACCUUGCCCUUCCGGGACUCGUUCCUGAGACCCUCUUUCCUUUCUUCUUUCUCCUUCCCACCGUCUUGGGGUCUCUCCAGACCUCCAGACCCGGCUACUUUUACCCGGGAGCCUUUCCGGUUCGUUUCGGGCGCUGCGCCUAAGAGUUUACGGUGGAAGACCCCCGGGUGUCAUCUAAUCUAAAGAACCUUUUUAGAUUCCCGCAUCAAGUCUGCCGGCCCCUGUUUGCCUGGCCUGCUUUCUCUCCAACCACUCCUUGUAAACCUUUCCGGACUGAACAUACUUAUUUGAGCACUGUGGCCGCUGGAACGCUCCGGGUGCCAAUCUGAGCGUUUCUCAUUUACUCAAAAAAAAUUAAUUCAUUCACAGAGUCGAGUUGAAAUUCGUCAUCCAGUGUUUACUCCUCACAUUCUCUACCCCACUUGGUGCCACACCCUUACUCUGCCCCACCUCGAAGCCUGCAGGUGGUGUGUGGCUGGCUGCCCCUGCCUCCUUUGCCUGUGUUACUGAGUGUAAUGCUGCGAAGCCACCUAUAUCCAUGGAUGUGUGGCGUGAGAGACCCCAACAGGCAACUCCAUGGAUGUCCCUAUGUCAGUCUGAUGCAGGGGGCAUGGUGGGAGCAGACUUCGGAAGCUGGAGGAGAGUGUCCCAGCCAGAGAAGGAGAAGUGAGGACAGAGACCCAGAUUGGGAUGGAAGCAGGACCAGGGCUGCUGCCUGUUCUAGAAAACCCUCACCGAUGUGCCCAGCAGCCUAUCUUUAGCCAUUCCAGACCCAGUGAAUCUGAGAUGAAAAGACUAAACCGUCACAGGGACCAAGCCCAAGCAGGGUCAAGUGUUAGAGGUCCUGGAGAAGAGGAGCAAGGGGUCUUAACUAUGGAGCCAUCUUUCCAGUCCCAAACUCAACCGUGAACCAGAUUCUCAGGCGAAGGCAUGGUGGCAGGUGUUACAAUGCGAAAGAUGCCACGUGCACACAGACAUUGAAAUUCCUGAGAGAAGACAGCCAGCCACAGAAGAAGAAGAAGUACUGGACAAUUCCAGUUAAGUGGGACCUAGAAGAGCCAAAUGACAGAAAAUAACAGUAGUUACCAGGGACUGGGGACUCCACGGGGCACAGGGAGCCAAUGUUCUGUGGACAGAUACGGAGUUCUAGGUUGGGAUGACUAAAAAUUCUGGAACAGGGUAGUGAAACUUAAUGUUGUUAUGCUGUAUAGUUAAAAAUGGUUAAAAUGCA